rnacentral:rRNA from 1 species
CAAGUCGAGCGGUAACAGAAAGUAGCUUGCUACUUUGCUGACGAGCGGCGGACGGGUGAGUAAUGCUUGGGAACAUGCCUUGAGGUGGGGGACAACAGUUGGAAACGACUGCUAAUACCGCAUAAUGUCUACGGACCAAAGGGGGCUUCGGCUCUCGCCUUUAGAUUGGCCCAAGUGGGAUUAGCUAGUUGGUGAGGUAAUGGCUCACCAAGGCGACGAUCCCUAGCUGGUUUGAGAGGAUGAUCAGCCACACUGGGACUGAGACACGGCCCAGACUCCUACGGGAGGCAGCAGUGGGGAAUAUUGCACAAUGGGCGCAAGCCUGAUGCAGCCAUGCCGCGUGUGUGAAGAAGGCCUUCGGGUUGUAAAGCACUUUCAGUCAGGAGGAAAGGUUAGUAGUUAAUACCUGCUAGCUGUGACGUUACUGACAGAAGAAGCACCGGCUAACUCCGUGCCAGCAGCCGCGGUAAUACGGAGGGUGCGAGCGUUAAUCGGAAUUACUGGGCGUAAAGCGUACGCAGGCGGUUUGUUAAGCGAGAUGUGAAAGCCCCGGGCUCAACCUGGGAACUGCAUUUCGAACUGGCAAACUAGAGUGUGAUAG